rnacentral:rRNA from 1 species
GACGAACCACCCAAACGUUAUUCGGAAUUACUGGGCUUAAAGGGCUCGUAGGCGGCCAACUAAGUCGGACGUGAAAUCCCUCGGCUUAACCGGGGAACUGCGUCCGAUACUGGAUGGCUUGAGUUCGGGAGAGGGAUGCGGAAUUCCAGGUGUAGCGGUGAAAUGCGUAGAUAUCUGGAGGAACACCGGUGGCGAAGGCGGCAUCCUGGACCGACACUGACGCUGAGGAGCGAAAGCGUGGGGAGCAAACGGG